AUUGAACGCUGGCGGCAUGCCUUACACAUGCAAGUCGAACGGCAGCAUGAUCUAGCUUGCUCGAUUGAUGGCGAGUGGCGAACGGGUGAGUAAUACAUCGGAACGUGCCCUGUAGUGGGGGAUAACUAGUCGAAAGAUUAGCUAAUACCGCAUACGACCUGAGGGUGAAAGUGGGGGACCGCAAGGCCUCAUGCUAUAGGAGCGGCCGAUGUCUGAUUAGCUAGUUGGUGAGGUAAAGGCUCACCAAGGCGACGAUCAGUAGCUGGUCUGAGAGGACGGUCAGCCACACUGGGACUGAGACACGGCCCAGACUCCUACGGGAGGCAGCAGUGGGGGAUUUUGGACAAUGGGCGAAAGCCUGAUCCAGCAAUGCCGCGUGUGAAGAAGGCCUUCGGGUUGUAAAGCACUUUUGUCCGGAAAGAAAUGGCUCUGGUUAAUACCUGGGGUCGAUGACGGUACCGGAAGAAUAAGGACCGGCUAACUACGUG
rnacentral:rRNA from 1 species